rnacentral:misc_RNA from 1 species
GAUGUGUGUGGUGGUUGAGGUUAUAACUGAAAAUUCAUUUUGUGACAAUGCUAAUGCAAGAUCAUGUACUAGAUCGUGUAUUUUACAUGUAAUCUCAAAAACCAAAUCCUCAAAAUCUUGAAAAGAAUUUCUAGAUCCCAACUCUUGAAAAUAGCGCAAUCCAAUAUCUUCUAGAACUUCAUUUUCAUUUGUUGAUUGAAGAAGUCCGUGUGCCAUCCAAACAUAAAUUAAUACAGACCUAUUGAAUUCAUAGUCCUUUGGAAAAAAAGAGCAAUAAACAAAGCACUUUUUCAAAUAAGGAGGCAAUUGUUCAUAACUUAAUUUUAAAGCAGAUAAAAUUUUAUUUUCUUUUUGCUCAAUUUUCCAUAACUCGCUAUCUCUUAUAGAUUUCCAAUGACUUUCAUCUGUUUUCAUAAAAAGAAGUAAUGCUAGUGUCUUCACUGCUAAUG